GUCUACGGCCAUACCACCUUGAAUGCGCCCGAUCUCGUCUGAUCUUGGAAGCUAAGCAGGGUCGGGCCUGGUUAGUAGUUGGAUGGGAGACCGCCUGGGAAUACUGGGUGCUGUAGGCG
rnacentral:rRNA from 1 species